GCUGCCCCUCGAGCGCUGAAAUACCCCAGUCUCUCGCAGAUUCCCGGUGUAGAUUUACCAAGGAUCUCUGCUGGGGAAAUCAAAUGGAGUGCCAUCCUCCUGAAGCGUGUUAGGUCUCUUGUCACCAACUAAAGAUCAAGAUGUUGCAUUCAGUUCAUUUGUUUCGGAAGUGAAACAGGAAUACGUGAACGCUGCUGAGGCCUUUUCAUGGCGCUGGGCUGGCUCCGCAGUGAGCAAUCCCACAGCCAGGAGCUGAGGCAAUGUGACUUCUGCCAGUGGUGAAUUCACCUCCCUGCAGCUCUGGUUCUGUGCUCUGCACUGGUCAGAUGAGGUUGAGCCUUUGCUGGGGCAUGCAGCAAACUGGCUGAUUUUGUUCAGCCUUGGAUCAAGGGAGCAGCAGAACUGCCUGGGAGCUGGAACUGGAGAGUUCAGUAAUUUUACCCCCAGAGCCCCAUUAACCAUAAAGGGGAUAAAGUGAUCUGUAAAGC